AUUGAACGCUGGCGGCAGGCCUAACACAUGCAAGUCGAGCGGUAACACAGGGAGCUUGCUCCUGGGUGACGAGCGGCGGACGGGUGAGUAAUGUCUGGGAAACUGCCUGAUGGAGGGGGAUAACUACUGGAAACGGUAGCUAAUACCGCAUAACGUCGCAAGACCAAAGAGGGGGACCUUCGGGCCUCUUGCCAUCAGAUGUGCCCAGAUGGGAUUAGCUAGUAGGUGGGGUAACGGCUCACCUAGGCGACGAUCCCUAGCUGGUCUGAGAGGAUGACCAGCCACACUGGAACUGAGACACGGUCCAGACUCCUACGGGAGGCAGCAGUGGGGAAUAUUGCACAAUGGGCGCAAGCCUGAUGCAGCCAUGCCGCGUGUAUGAAGAAGGCCUUCGGGUUGUAAAGUACUUUCAGCGGGGAGGAAGGUGUUGAGGUUAAUAACCUCAGCAAUUGACGUUACCCGCAGAAGAAGCGCCGGCUAACUCCGUGCCAGCAGCCGCCGCCG
rnacentral:rRNA from 1 species